GAACUGCGAUAAGUAAUGUGAAUUGCAGAAUUCAGUGAAUCAUCGAGUCUUUGAACGCACAUUGCGCCCCCUGGCAUUCCGGGGGGCAUGCCUGUCCGAGCGUCAUUGCUGCCCUUCAAGCCCGGCUUGUGUGUUGGGUCGUCGUCCCCUCCGGGGGACGGGCCCGAAAGGCAGCGGCGGCACCGCGUCCGGUCCUCGAGCGUAUGGGGCUUUGUCACCCGCUCGAUAAGGACCGGCCGGGCGCCAGCCGGCGUCUCCAACCUUUUUUUCUCAGGUUGACCUCGGAUCAGGUAGGGAUACCCGCUGAACUCAAGC
rnacentral:misc_RNA from 1 species